ACUGCGGGGGAUACUGUUCGGCUAGGGGACGAGAGAGGCCGACGGUAUUCCCAGGGUAGGGGUGAAAUCCUAUAAUCCCGGGAAGACCACCAGUGGCGAAGGCUGUCGGCUAGAACGCGCCCGACGGUGAGGGAUGAAAGCUGGGGGAGCGAACCGGAUUAGAUACCCGGGUAGUCCCAGCUGUAAACGAUGCAGGCUAGGUGUCAGGGCGGUCACGUGCCGCUCUAGUGCCGCAGGGAAGCUGUUAAGCCUGCCGCCUGGGGAGUACGGCCGCAAGGCUGAAACUUAAAGGAAUUGGCGGGGGAGCACCACAAGGGGUGAAGCUUGCGGUUUAAUUGGAGUCAACGCCGGAAAUCUCACCGGGAGCGACAGCAGAAUGAAAGCCAGAUUAAAGGUCUUGCCAGACAAGCUGAGAGGAGGUGCAUGGCCGUCGCCAGUUCGUGCCGUGAGGUGUCCUGUUAAGUCAGGCAACGAUCGAGACCCGCAUCCCCCGUUGCCAUUGGCCUUGAGCCAAGCACACUGGGGAGACUGCCGCCGACAAGGCGGAGGAAGGAGCGGGCCACGGCAGGUCAGUAUGCCCCGAAUCUCCCGGGCCACACGCGAGCUGCAAUGGCAGGUACAAUGGGAUCCGACCUCGAAAGGGGAAGGAAAUCUUUAAAGCCUGCCGUAGUUGGGAUCGAGGGUUGAACUCACCCUCGUGAACAUGG
rnacentral:rRNA from 1 species